UAACCAAAAUCUGUUGAUGCCACUGGGAUGGAGAUGUGGUCCAUAUUGCAAAUGCUUGUCAUUCUUCUUCCCCUUUAAAAGUAUGAGGCAGUGGACAUGCAUCUGGUCCUGCCAGUAUUACGAGUGCUGGCCUCCCAUCUGCAGCAGAUAAAAGACAGGGAUUAGGUCCGUGUGCUCUAGCUGCCAACCGUGGAGCUCUCAGCAACCACAGGAUGCAUUCUGGCAUGCUAUGCAUUUAGCCCUGUCUGCUGGAGAAGUAACAAAGGUCAAAUGAAGGAAAAUAUCACUCAGAAAAAUAUUACCAGACGUCACACAGAACAUCUCUCUUUUUUCGACAAAUAAAACCAGCACAGAUUCACAAGAGACCAGGGUCCAAAGUUUCCACAAGGAGAGGGUUGCUCCCUACCAACAAAUCAUGCAGGUAAGUGAGCAAGCCUAAAGCCCUGCAGUACCGAAAGUGCUGGGCGUAGGAUACAUCUUGGUGUAAAUAGCCUUUUUUUCCACUCUUUGGCUGAGGAAGUAGCAGUGCCAGUGACAGUCUGUCCACACAUGAGGCAUUUCCAUUCAGGCAGUGAUUUCACAAAGCUCAGGCAUUGCGGCAGGGAAGGAGG